CAUUCAAGUGCGAGCACAUGUUUUAUGCGGCACUCACUGUUUGGUAACAUGUCACGAGGCAUUCACUGCUUGGUAUGUAAGGGAGGACAUGUCGAACUCCUUUUUUUUUCCGUGUUUCUCAACAACACUCAGACGGCCUCACCCGGAAAUUUUUCUGGACAUGCACAUUGCCGGACAAGUGUGGAUAUGUAGACUUGAAAUAACAGGUCCAUAAGAUGAGGGUUACAGGCACUUAACCCUCUGUUGGUCCCUGGGACAUAUAUGCCCCGCCUGCAACCACAAGGAAAAUCUGCCUGAAGUACGCAGAGGAACAUACGUAGCCUCACAGAAACAGGUAGUGCUGUCUCUUAGAAGAAAAAACAACUAUAAUUUUAAGUUUUUAUUUGAAUUGGUAGGUGGCACUAGUAGUUCCAGUUGUUUUCCUUGUUGCUAUGUUUUUUGGCUGUCCUUGCUCUUCAAGCGCGUGAUUUUGGUUGCUCUUUCGCCACGAAUGAGUUGUCCGGUAAGUGAAAAAAUUACUUCUUGCACUCCAGUAAUACAGUUAGAUCAACUGAUGACAAGGUUUGGCACGAGAGUGAGCCAUUGUUGUCAGCUACCUGCAAAUAUGUUGAAUGUACUGGUAGAAGACAUCCAUCACUGUUACAGAAACAGCAUGACAUAGCCAUCCUUUCGAGUCAUACUGGGCAGAAAGUUCUUCAAUGGGAGGAGCUUCUUGCAAGGGUCGGCACAGUCUAAUAUAUCAUAAACGAGGAGGCAAGAACUGCUCAAUCAUGACAGGAGUGCCAACAGACGUUUGGCUCGAUGGGCCAAGGGCACUACCCGGGCACCGCCACUACGUGCAAAAGGUGGCGAUGGCGCUCGACGACUUGGCAAGAAGAGCACACAAAGUUUAUGUGUAGAGCCUGUCAAGUCCCUCUUUGCAUUGCAUGCUUUGAACCCUUUCAUAAGAAGCCAUAAUCACCUCAAAGCCUGAAAGGAUGAAGCCCAAGGUGUGCAGAGGGACAAUGUGUGUCCCAGUUUCGCUCAUGGCCUCAAGUUAUUUGUGGGAGAGCUGUUGUCCCGCUUAUUUUUCAGAUAAUAUUAUUGUGCAAGAAAUGGUAAAUUUUUUGCAGUUCUUCCAUGCGGUACAGUUCAUUUGGUAAAAGCUAUACCAGAAGCCUUGAGUAGAUUUCUCGCACCUGACAAAGGGUUAAUUUUCUCCCAGGCCAACUCCCCUAAGUGAUUGCUUGCAGUGGACGAUGAACCGCUGGGUUUUUUAAUGGAGUAGAGUAGAUAAAUGCAAAACAAGGAAAGGAACAGACAUUUAGUGAUGCCAAGGAACAUGCCUUUAUUAACACAGACAAAAGCAUUCAUACAGACCUAAGCAUGCAUUCCACCAUGCUUCAAUCAUGAAGCACUAAUGUGUUCGUGCUGAAUAUGUGCUUUACACUGCCAACUUUGAAGUCUCUUCAAGAAGUUAUGUCUUUCAACAUUUGGCUCCAAAAAACCACAGUUGAAUGAUUUAAUGUGUCAACAAAGAGUGUAAAGUAAAGCAGCAAAGCGUAAAAGAAAGCACAACAAAAUUUGACAGUUAUGAACAUCUAACAAGACAGCGCAUCACGGGAGAGAAAAAGCAGCGCACAAUUUUCAGACAAGUGUAAAGAAUUUAUUUUUGUAGGGGGGUGAGAAUAUUUGAGAUUUCGAAUGUGAAUAGAUUUUGCCAUUUGAUUUGUACCUCAUAAAAGAAUUUGAUAUUUACAGUGAUCUAAUAUUCAUUAAUGUCCAAAUAUUCAGACAUGUAGGAUUUAUGGAUUCUUUAGUGCGUACAGGUCCAUGCAAAUGGCACCUCUGUGGUGGCCACUUCAAUCAAUCAACGGCUGAGUAAGAAAUACCUAUUGAUUUCUGCAGCCCAUCUUAGUGAUGCAGUAUAUUUGGAUUGAAAACUGAGCAAGUUAGCAUGUAUUCAUCUAUGAAUGCAGUAUAUUCUGCUAAAGAGGCUUCACUUCUAAACAGAAGGCGAAGUUACUGAGCCUGCCUCACUGGCAACUGCUUUAUUUUUUUUAACAAUUACUUUUAGUGCAUAAUAAAGCCGCAAACCUGAAGGAAAGCCCAUGAAACACGAUAACUACCACGUGACUAGUCGAGCGGCACUUUUUCACAAUUGACAGGCUUUCCUUCAGGCUUGGAAAAAACUUUUAUGCAGCAAGCAUUGAGCAAUGCAAAGCUGGACUGGGAAUUUUUCAGGGUGGUUUACAAUUUUCUCACUGCCACUUUUGCUCUGAAUACAAUAUGUGAGAAGUUGAUUAAUUAAUAAGACCUAAUUUUGUAGUUAGGUGAAAUACAAAAAACGGUCCAGUUUUGUCCAAGAGACGGCAAACAACACUACUUAGGUUCUGUCCAGUUAGAUAGCAGUUGCAUAACUUAACAUUUUAGCACAAGUUACAUGGUACACAUGGUAAAAAUCUCUGCUUAGAGGAUAUAAACCUAUUUCUUUAACACAUUUAUCCUUUUCAGCUUUUUUCUCUGAAAUUUUUUUAAUAUGAAAGGGAAAAUUACUUGGUAUUUAGUUGAUAUCUAAAGUUUAUCAUUUUUAUAUGUACGUAUUCAAUAUAAAUAUUUGGUUACCCAAACAAAGUUAGUCUUCUGUCCUUUUCUCUUCCCAUAUUGUGUAGUUUUGAGCCUCGUUUGUUAUAGCAGUUGAGUUGCUACUAAAUGUUGCACCAACAAUUACUGCCCUCAUGAUCGCUCGCUCAACACAUGUAACUAGCACUGAAAAGUUAAAGGGACAUUAAAGUGAAACAGUAAACCAGUUUAGAAUGAUAAUGUGUACUCUCAAAACUCUAUGUUUGUGAAUCCUGCUGUAACAAGUUGAUUGCUGUAAUGGAAAAUGAAGGCCACCGUUGCAUUUCCUGAAUUUCGUGCAACGUCACAAAUUUCAAUGUAUUUUAUCACAUCUGAGUGCUUGUGGCUAAGGAAAAGUUCUUGAAACUAGUUAAGCUUGUUCUUGGUUAUUUGAGGAAUAAUGCAGUCGAUCAUUACAAACGUCAUCAAAACCUAUGACAUCGCCCUGUGCUGGUGUGGAACAUCAAGGCAGCGGUGUCACAGGUCUUCCGGCUUUUGCACCUUGUGUGGCUUUUCAAGGAUCCUCUCACGUGUCCAUUUAAGCCAAUUGCAGGUCCACCAUGCAACUUGUGCCUUAGCAUGUGCAGCAAAUGGAACACCGAAGAAGGAAGUGGUUGGGUGAAGCCACCUCAGGCAUAAAAAUUUGCACUGAACACCAUUUAAAGCAUACAUUAAUGAUGCACAUCAGAUGGAGACUGCAUUUGUUAUCUGAGUGGACCUACAGAAAAGCAUGCUGAGAUGUACAUACAUUCUUUUUUUUCUCAAAAAAUAUUCAUGACAUUUCUUUCCUGCAUGUCAUGCUAGGUCUGGCAUGCAGCAACAGCUACCCCUGCCUCCCUACAUUUCCUAAAAAACCGUCAAGAAAAUGUUAUGGCACCAGAGUAGUGGCAGCUGCGAUAUGGAUGGGUAUGAAAAAUCGUCGGUGAGUAAACAAACAUUUCAAGCACAUUACUUUGUGUGAGUCGUGACAGAUGCAUGGUUACGUUGGCAUUUCCUUUUGUUGCCUCAGUGUGACGAAUUAUUUUUAAACAUUAAAGAAAAGGCCCACGUGAAAAAUAAAAAGAAGGAAGCAGUUCAUUUACUGUAUGUGAAAUGUUCCUUUACAGGCUUUUUUGGGAUAAAAAUAUAGUUAUGGGCAUAUCUUGAAGAUUUCUGAGUUGUCUAGUCGCAGGAUGUCAUCAAUAUCAUGACUGUAUAUUUCAAAAAGUGCAAAUGAUAUGUUUGCAAGAAAAAGAUGACUCAAGUCCUCUUUAUGUGCACAUGUAGGCUGCACUGAGGGUUGUCUGAUCACGACAUUACUGUGUGUGACAAACUUCAUAUUGUUGCAGACAUCUACAGCACAUGUUUACUGUUUCUGCAAAUUUUUAUGCCAUUUCAUUUUUAUACCUUCAUGUAUCUUGUACCUCAGAAUUCAUUCCAAAUCUGUAUGCGGUGCAAACCCACUAGCUACAAUUUGUAGAUUGAAAUGUGUGCCGUAAAGUAAUCAAUCUGAAAGUUAAUUAGCGUAAUUCUGUUAAUUAUUCAACUUAGCCACUUUGAUUUCUUGUAGAAGUAAUGGCUGCUUCAACGAGUAAUUUAGUUCAAGGGUUAGAACUGUGCUAUUUCAAACAUGCAAAUGUUUAAAUAUUAGGUGCAGCUAAAGAAAACACCCUAUAUAUGUAGUAUACCUAUCUGUGCAUGCUUGCAGACAAUUUAACAAAAUAUACACCAUGGGAAAAUAUUGCUGCUUACAUGUGCUGCACUGUUUGUGUGAGCCAAGAAAACUGACACUGAGGUUGGUGUUUUAGUUCUACUGCUCCUGUACUGGGACAUGCCAGCUUUGCAACUGCAGGUGCUUCAGUCAGCACGCUCUAAAUGCUGCUGCAUCAAAGUGCGUGUUAGUUUCUCCGGUGGCAAAUGGUCAUUGCUGAAUUGAUAAGCUAAGGAACAAAGGGUGCAGUUGUGACGCUAUGAUUUGUUUAUGUGUAUGUGUGGUGCAUGUGUGACUACUCUAAGCGCUCCUUUAAUGUGUACGCUUUCACAAGGCAAACAGGACACAAGACAAAGGACAAUCAAUAAACAGAUUGCCUCAUGUCGUGCUAUACCACGCAUUGGAAAGCAACUACGCUCUUAAAGAAGUUUGUACCCUUUGGGGCUUACCUUGUCUCACAACAAUAAUUGUCAUCUGCCUUGUUUGCGUUUCCUUUCUUGAAAAAUCUGCGCUCGCUACUUUUCUGUUGAGAAUGCCACAUCACGCUGAUAACGCGCAUGUCGAGCUUGUGGCCUGGGAGUACCAGGCUCGCAGCAUUAAAGAAAGGAAAUGUAAGCAAGGCAGAUGACGAUUAUUGUCGUGAGACAAGAUACGCCACAAGGGGUGCAAACUUUUUUAAGAGUCUAGCCCACUCCGAUACCCGACUUAAUAAUACUUAUUAUUUCGGUGCUUUUAUGCCAAAAACUUCAAGUAAUUGUUUUUAUCAAAAAGCAUGCCACAGCAAUUCUUUUCGAAAACAUAACAUUUGAGCAUACUAGCUAUUGCAAGCUCUAAGAAAAAUGAAUAAUAAUCAUACUAAAGCCUGUGGUGUUACGAACAGCCAUGCCACAUUUCAGGCCAUGAGUUAGCAGCCAUCACAAAAUACCUAAGAAAUCUAAGAGAUACGCCAAAAAGCUUCUUUUAUGAGAACUAUGAAGGAACAAUGGAAUAUGGAGGACCAUGUCCUAAAAGAGGUUCAGGUGUACAUAAGUGGCCUAUAAUCUAUCGAAAAGUAAAUGAAAAUAUCCAAACCAUAUAUUUUGUCUUAAAGGGACUGACAACUGACCAGAACAUGCUGCGAAAUGUUGAUGGAAAUUAAAUGACCAUGAUUUAUAGUGAUAGAGUCCAGCACGCUGUUUGUGAUUUAAGUAGGAAUUAUAAUUUUAAAUUGGCAAAGAAAGUCUCAAAAACUAGUAAGUGACGAGGCGUAGCGGUAAUGUAUCGGUAAUUUGGAUGUAGUCUAUAAGAUUACUGUACGUAAGUCAGCUGUACGCAAGCUGUAUUAUGUAAGUACAACAUAAUUAUUGCUUAAAAUUGCAGUUGCUACAUUAUUAGACAGUCGCACUUUAUUCUAUGCUUUGGAAACCAAAGCGCACGCAUGGCUACUGCAACACACUGAACUAUGUAUCAUGUGUGAAAGCGUUGUUUCGUUUUCGAUCCGAUUAAUUUCGUUUUGACUAAUUAGAUACCAAAGCAGUUGGACAUGAAGGAAACCACGAAAACAUGCAUCUAUUAUCGCAGAAAUACUUUAACGCUUCGGAAAACAUGAAUCGCAGGAACAUUGAUUUGAUAAACAAAAUAACACUUCCUCACAGUUACAGCCACACUGUCUGCCUCCCACUAAUGCUGGCAUAUAAUCGCUAUCGUGCUCACCUAUCACUGGUUUCAGCAUGCUUACAGUGAAUGACUACAUCCUCACUGCAGAUAGAAACAUUUUAAUAAAUGUUCCACGGUAUUUUCGCAUUACCACUUCAUGAAUAGACACUCCGACCAGUAAGCUUUCCAUUGCAUUAAGUAAAACAGGUACCAUGAAAAUUGGUUGUCAGUCCCACUCUGCUAUAGUAACAUUCACAGUUAUUGUAUACGCUCUCAACAGUGGGAGAGUUGUUUGUUGUGGUGUCUUGUGUGGCAAAACAACCAUUGUUGUGAGGAAAAGCCACACCUUGCGUUUGCAGGUGCUAGGUUUAACACUGGAACACAAGUGGUAAGCAUGUGUUUAACCCACUUUACCGGGACUACUUGAUUUGUUUAACAAGCUAAAGAGAUUCGAGCAAUGAUAUUUUCUCAAUUUCUUUUUAAACAAAUAGAGAUGCAUAUCAACCUGUUUGAGCUAAAAUCAAUCUUUUUGAACAAAUAGAGAUGUAUACCAAGCCAAAAUUUGUAAAAAGCCCCUUGAACACGAUACUAAGGGAGGGCAUAGCAUGUGUAUUCUUUAUGUUAACCCUGCCCUUGCCAUGUUUGUGGGAUACUUCACAUCAAAUAAUAAUUUACCUUUCUAAUGCAGCACACAAGCAAACUUGCAAUGGCAGAGAGUGAUAAGCACCACAUUGUUCUUACAGUACAGCUACUUUUCCAGUGACAUUGUUGACAAUUUUAUCUGGUUCGGGAAGCUUUCUGAAUAAACUUGCUUAAAGCAAA